rnacentral:rRNA from 1 species
GAUGAACGCUGGCGGCGUGCCUAAUACAUGCAAGUCGAGCGAACGGACGAGAAGCUUGCUUCUCUGAUGUUAGCGGCGGACGGGUGAGUAACACGUGGAUAACCUACCUAUAAGACUGGGAUAACUUCGGGAAACCGGAGCUAAUACCGGAUAAUAUUUUGAACCGCAUGGUUCAAAAGUGAAAGACGGUCUUGCUGUCACUUAUAGAUGGAUCCGCGCUGCAUUAGCUAGUUGGUAAGGUAACGGCUUACCAAGGCAACGAUGCAUAGCCGACCUGAGAGGGUGGUGGGCGACACUGGAACGGAGACCCGGACCAGGCGACGACGGGAGGCAACAGUAGGGAAUGUUAGGUAAUGGGCGAAAGCGUGACGGAGAAGCGCCAAGUGGGUGAAGAAAGUCUUGGGAGCGUAAAAACCUGUUAUUAGGGAAGAACAUAUGUGCAAGUAACUGUGCACAUCUUGACGGUACCUAAUAAGAAAGCCACGGCUAACUACGUG